AUAGUAUGAAAAAACAGCGAAAAUUGCUGGUGUCAACCUAUAUUAACGUCCAAACAAAGUUGUAAUGUAGACGAGUUGAAGCUCAGCAUACUUUAGCAAGCCUAUAUUCGUCUUUCUCUGUCCUACCAGUUAAGGAUAGCCGGAAACACCUUCUCGGAACUCAUAGCGCUACUUCAACAGCUACUCGACUUCCAUGAACAAAAUGAUACAAUAAUGCGUCGUUUACGACGCUGUAACAACCAAGCCUCUGUUUUCUUGCAAACUCAGAAAUAUCUCGAUACGUACUUGAAACUCAAAUUUCGAAGAAUCUUUCAUGCCCAUGGUUCCGCCUAAAGUAAGUCGCUGGUCGAAGAAUAUGCAUAGAUUCGCUAUUCAUUGUCGACGAGGUAUAAGUAUAGGACGUUUCAAAAUUGAGGUUAACAAGAACGAAGAUAUGAUUAAAAUCGAUGAAAUAAAAAGUGCACAUACGAGAUAAAGAAUGAUACGACGAUAACGACGUAUUAAAUUAUACCAUCUCUUAAUUUAACAAUUAAUCCUAUUACGCUCUUUCGGUUGUUUUUCACACAAUUAUAAUUUUCCAAUGGUAAAAAAUAUCUUUGUAGCAAACGUACAGCUUGAAAAGAAUAUGAAAAGAAUCUUCUGUGCAUAAUUCCUCGCUACGAUUAUCCACAUGAAAUACCUUCUUUACACUUUGCAACGCAAGUUAUUGCAACAUACCGUCAUCUUAAUCCACGGUGAAAGGUUUAAAACGUUACAAAUACUUUUUGUUUGCUAAAAUGAGAUCAAGAUGGAAAGAUAAAAAUCCAAAAACCUCAUCAAGCUGAAAAAUACACGUCCCUUCAUUCUCCUCUGCCGAUUGUUCCCUAAUCGACCCAUAAUUCUGUAAGAGCCUCUAUAG